rnacentral:rRNA from 1 species
GAUGAACGCUGGCGGCGUGCCUAACACAUGCAAGUCGAGCGAGGGUUUGCUCAGUAUUGAGUAUUCUAAGAUUAGAAUGUUCAAUUCUGAGCAAAACCAAGCGGCGGACGGGUGAGUAACGCGUGGGUAACCUGCCCUAUACACAUGGAUAACAUACUGAAAAGUUUACUAAUACAUGAUAAUAUAUAUUUGCGGCAUCGCAGAUAUAUCAAAGUGUUAGCGGUAUAGGAUGGACCCGCGUCUGAUUAGCUAGUUGGUGAGAUAACUGCCCACCAAGGCGACGAUCAGUAGCCGACCUGAGAGGGUGAUCGGCCACAUUGGAACUGAGACACGGUCCAAACUCCUACGGGAGGCAGCAGUGGGGAAUAUUGCACAAUGGGCGAAAGCCUGAUGCAGCAACGCCGCGUGAACGAUGAAGGUCUUCGGAUCGUAAAGUUCUGUUGCAGGGGAAGAUAAUGACGGUACCCUGUGAGGAAGCCCCGGCUAACUACGUGCCAGCAGCCGCGGUAAUACGUAGGGGGCUAGCGUUAUCCGGAUUUACUGGGCGUAAAGGGUGCGUAGGUGGUCCUUCAAGUCGGUGGUUAAAGGCUACGGCUCAACCGUGGUAAGCCGCCGAAACUGGAGGACUUGAGUGCAGGAGAGGAAAGUGGAAUUCCCAGUGUAGCGGUGAAAUGCGUAGAUAUUGGGAGGAACACCAGUAGCGAAGGCGGCUUUCUGGACUGCAACUGACGCUGAGAAGCGAAAGCAUGGGGAGCGAACAGG